rnacentral:rRNA from 1 species
GACGAACGCUGGCGGCGUGCUUAACAUAUGCAAGUCGAACGCUGAAGACCUGGCUUUUGUUGGGUUGGAUGAGUGGCGAACGGGUGAGUAACACGUGAGUAACCUGCCCUCUUCUUUGGGAUAACGCCCGGAAACGGGUGCUAAUACUGGAUAUUCACUGAUCUUCGCAUGGGGGUUGGUGGAAAGGUUUGUUCUGGUGGGGGAUGGGCUCGCGGCCUAUCAGCUUGUUGGUGGGGUGAUGGCCUACCAAGGCUUUGACGGGUAGCCGGCCUGAGAGGGUGACCGGUCACAUUGGGACUGAGAUACGGCCCAGACUCCUACGGGAGGCAGCAGUGGGGAAUAUUGCACAAUGGGCGAAAGCCUGAUGCAGCGACGCCGCGUGAGGGAUGGAGGCCUUCGGGUUGUAAACCUCUUUCGCUCAUGGUCAAGCCGCAACUGUGGGUUGUGGUGAGGGUAGUGGGUAAAGAAGCGCCGGCUAACUACGUG